rnacentral:lncRNA from 10 species
CUGGCGGGCUUGGGAUGGUACCUCUGUGGCAUCAGCAUUGAGUAAGCAUGCCCUCAAGCCUUGAUCAUCACUGCGACAACCACAGCUGCAUUUCUGAGUGCCAUCUGGGGGACACCAUGCCAGCUUUCGGAGUGUCAUUUUCCUCAUCAGUAAAAUAGGGAGCAGAACAGAACCUUCCUCCCCUGGCUGGGGGGCGGUCCGUGUGAAGUUCUUGGUGUCCAGUGGUGAGCAUGAGCCGUCCCUGCGAUGCCAAGCCUCUCCUUGCUGACGGCGGGGAUUGACGAUCCAGCUUAUGUGCCCUGCUCCCCUCUGCCUGCCCCUUCUCCCUGUCCCCAGGUCUCCCCUGUGGUGGGGGAUGCAGGUCCCGUUUUCCUAUGGGGCACUGGCUUUGGAGACCACCCCUGCCCCGACCCCUGUUCUCUGAUUCUAUCUAAGUGCUUAAUCUCUCCCCCCGACCCCUAUCCUCUGAUUCUAUCUAAGUGCCUAAUCUUUCCCAGCGGCAGCCCUGGGAGACAUCUCCUCUCUCGCUAUGGGGCUGCUGGGAUCUGUCUUCCCAACCUGACACUUCACAAGUCUGUCCCCUCUACUUUAUCCUCCCCCUAAGUAAAACUCCUU